GUCCAUCCACAGGGGUGCUCCGUACGGUCGGGGCUGAGACGGGGGCGGCAAGCCCACAGACCCUAGAAGCUGAUCUGGGUAAUACCAGCGGAGCGAGGCGGGCUAUGUUUUCAG
rfam:Mesorhizobium huakuii 7653R genome.